AUUGAACGCUGGCGGCAGGCCUAACACAUGCAAGUCGAACGAGUGGCGGACGGGUGAGUAAUGUCUGGGAAACUGCCUGAUGGAGGGGGUUAACUACUGGAAACGGUAGCUAAUACCGCAUACCAUCAGAUGUGCCCAGAUGGGAUUAUCUAGUUGGUGGGGUAACGGCUAACCAAGGCGACGAUCCCUAGCUGGUCUGCGAGGAUGACCAGCCACACUGGAACUGAGCCACGGUCCAUACUCCGACGUGAGGCAGCAGUGGGGAAUAUUGCACAAUGGGCGCAAGCCGGAUGCAGCCAUGCCGCGUGUAUGAAGAAGGCCUUCGGGUUGUAAAGUACUUUCAGCGGGGAGGCGUUACCCGCAGAAGAAGCACCGGCUAACUCCGUGCCAGCAGCCGCGGUAAUUC
rnacentral:rRNA from 1 species